rnacentral:tRNA from 1 species
UCCCUGAUGGUCUAGUGGCUAGGAUUCAAUGGUCUCGCUGCCGUGGCCUGGGUUCAAUUCCCGGUCAGGGAA